rnacentral:rRNA from 1 species
UGGGGAAUAUUGGACAAUGGGCGAAAGCCUGAUCCAGCAAUGCCGCGUGUGUGAAGAAGGUCUUCGGAUUGUAAAGCACUUUCGACGGGGACGAUGAUGACGGUACCCGUAGAAGAAGCCCCGGNUAACUUCGUACCAG